rnacentral:tRNA from 1 species
GGCCUCGUAGCUCAGCUGGCGAAGGCGGCAUCCAAGCGUGAGUUCGAAUCCCACCGAGGCUA